CGGGACGGGUGAGUAAUGUCUGGGAAACUGCCUGAUGGAGGGGGAUAACUGCUGGAAACGGUAGCUAAUACCGCAUAACGUCGCAAGACCAAAGAGGGGGACCUUCGGGCCUCUUGCCAUCGGAUGUGCCCAGAUGGGAUUAGCUAGUAGGUGGGGUAACGGCUCACCUAGGCGACGAUCCCUAGCUGGUCUGAGAGGAUGGCCAGCCACACUGGAACUGAGACACGGUCCAG
rnacentral:rRNA from 1 species